AUUGAACGCUGGCGGCAGGCCUAACACAUGCAAGUCGAGCGGCAGCACUUCGGGUGGCGAGCGGCGAACGGGUGAGUAAUACAUGGGAAUCUGCCCAGUAGUGGGGGAUAACUUCGGGAAACUGGAGGUAAUACCGCAUACGUCCUACGGGAGAAAGCAGGGGAUCGCAAGACCUUGCGCUAUUGGAGGAGCCCAUGUCCGAUUAGCUAGUUGGCGAGGUAAAGGCUCACCAAGGCAACGAUCGGUAACUGGUCUGAGAGGAUGGUCAGUCACACUGGAACUGAGAAACGGUCCAGACUCCUACGGGAGGCAGCAGUGGGGAAUAUUGGACAAUGGGGGCAACCCUGAUCCAGCCAUGCCGCGUGUGUGAAGAAGGGCUUCGGGUUGUAAAGCACUUUAAGCAGGGAGGAAGGCUCCUACGUUAAUACCGUGCGGGAGUGACGUUACCUGCAGAAUAAGCACCGGCAAACUCCGUGCCAGCCGCCGCGGUAA
rnacentral:rRNA from 1 species